GCGCCAGUAGCUCAGCGGAUUAGAGCGCGGCCCUGCGGAGGCUGAGGUCGUGGGUUCAAAUCCCACCUGGCGUACCA
rnacentral:tRNA from 1 species